rnacentral:rRNA from 1 species
GACGAACGCUGGCGGCGUGCUUAACACAUGCAAGUCGAACGGAAAGGCCCUGCUUUUGUUGGUUGCUCGAUUGGCGAACGGGUGAGUAACACGUGAGUAACCUGCCCUUGUCUUUGGGGUAACUUCAGGAAACUGGGGCUCUUACCCGAUAUGAUCUCCUGCUGCAUGGUGGUGAUUGGAAAGUUUCGGCGGUUGGGGAUGGACUCGCGGCUUAUCAGCUUGUUUGUGAGGUAGUGACUGACCAAGGCUUUGACGGGUAGGCGGCCUGAGAGGGGGAACGGGCACAAGGGGACUGAGAUACGGACCAGAAGGGUACGGGAGGCAGCAGGGGGGAGUAUUGCAGAAUGGGCGGGAGCCAGAGGCAGCAACGCCGCGUGCGGGAUAAUGGGCUUCGGGUUGUAAACAGAUUUCGACGGUGAUGAAGAGUGAGUGACGGUAAUGGGUAAAGAAGCAACGGCUAACUACGUG